AUUGAACGCUGGCGGCAUGCCUCACACAUGCAAGUCGAACGGCAGCACGGGUGCUUGCACCUGGUGGCGAGUGGCGAACGGGUGAGUAAUACAUCGGAACGUACCUUAUCGUGGGGGAUAACGCAGCGAAAGCUGUGCUAAUACCGCAUACGCCCUGAGGGGGAAAGCGGGGGAUCGCAAGACCUCGCGCGAUUAGAGCGGCCGAUGCCUGAUUAGCUUGUUGGUGGGGUAAAAGCCCACCAAGGCGACGAUCCGUAGCUGGUCUGAGAGGAAGAUCAGCCACACUGGGACUGAGACACGGCCCAGACUCCUACGGGAGGCAGCAGUGGGGAAUUUUGGACAAUGGGGGCAACCCUGAUCCAGCAAUGCCGCGUGAGUGAAGAAGGCCUUCGGGUUGUAAAGCUCUUUUGUCAGGGAAGAAACACCGGCUCUAACACAGUCCGGGAAUGACGGUACCUGAAGAAAAAGCACCGGCUAACUACGUGCCAGCCGCCGCCGUAA
rnacentral:rRNA from 1 species